UUGAUGUAAAUAGUCAACAUUUUUUACAGUGUGCUGUUAAAAUAAAUAUUCAAUCAAUGACAAAUUUGAUUGAAUUAAUUAUUGGAUUUUUGUAUAUGGAAAUAUUGAUUCUUUGACGUGAAAGAUUUGUAUAUUUUUUACUAUUUGUGACACUCAAUGAGAAAAGGAACAUAGUAAACAAAUUUUAGGUUAUGUUUGUUAUUUUUGAAGUGAAAAUAUAACAAUAUACAAAAUAUGUCAUGAUGUUAUAAAAAAAAGUUUUUUUUAUCAUUUAAAAGAAAGGUAGUAAUUGGAAUUCGAGGUCAAAAUGAUUCUGUGUAUACAGCGGCUUAUUAGCAAAUACAAUAUAUCGUGUUGCUUUUUGUUGGUCACACAUCCGCAUUUUGCAAACUGAUUUUUAUUCUUCAUUUUAUAUAGUCAUCUAAAGUCAUUAUGAAGGUGACCAAAAGGGAAAAAAAAAACAAAACCGGUAAAAAUUAUCAUAGAACUGAUAAAAUAUAAUCUGAGGUGAAACCUAUUAGAACGAAUGCUACAAAACAACUGAUUAUAUUAUCCAGAGCACAACACAAUCGGAUUCGUAUUUUUUUUUUGUUAUCGUUUCGGAAUAAUAUGCGAUAUGUGAGAUGGAUCUCACAAGACUGAAGUUGGAAAGCACGUCACCCUCAAAGCUUAACCGGCGUCCACCAUCGUCCCACCGAUCCAAUUCCAGAAAUACGAAGGAAUACGAAUAUAAUAUUAGGACAACGUUUGAAAAUGACGAUGCGCGCAAAGAAGCAAUAUAGUUGCAUUUCCUCAAAGAUGCGCUUCGUGGGUCAUCAUCAAUGCAACUCUUGUUUUCCAUCCAGCAAAUAUAACAUAAAGAGAGCCUCUCUCUCUUUUUCUUUUCUAUUCCUAUACACGCAGCCUCAUUUCUUUUUUGCAAUUAAAAAAUUUUACCCAAAAAUACAUUAUUUUUUGAUGACUUCAAUUUUUAAUCUUAUUUGUUCUUGCAAAAAGUAACAUGUAAAAUUUCUUGGUACAUCUUCUCGUUCAUCUUCUUGACGAUGAGGAAAAAGCACCGCCUGCGCAAAUCAGCUGUCCAUUGUCAGUAGAAAAAAAUCCGUUUAGUCAGACAUCCAUCAAAUAAGUGAGCGAAUCGUUUUUAUUCCUAUAAUAUGAUGAAUGUUAGUCCAAUAUCACUCGUUGAAAUCUCCAAUUUAAACAUUUUUCAAGUAAUCGAUAAUCUUUUUUUUUUUUUUUAAUUAACAGAGAAUCAUAUUUUUCUAUAAUUUUAAUAAUAAUAAAUAAUAAAUAAUAAUAAUAAUAAUAAUAAUAAUAAUAAUAAGUAAUAAAUGAUAAUAAUAAUAAAUAAUAAAAUAAUAAAAAAUAAUUGAUAAUUAGAUAGAUAGAUAGAUAGAUAGAUUUAUUCUCUUAA